AUUGAAAAAUAUACCGCCAACCCAAUUUUAUAUUCCCUUUUUUUUAAUUGGUCAAAUGUUUUUUCCCUAUUUUCCCCCAAAACCUACUUCUCUCACUUUUACUCAAAAACCCUACAAUGGUUGCUCGACCCAUUUUCUUCAGACUUAGAUAACGAGAUUGCUCGAGUUCUUAGGUUAUCCAAAUUACAGGAGCCCACACCACGAUAUUGAGUCAAAUUUCUACUAAUUUCUACUCAAAAUCAAAUUUCUGCUGAUUUCCCCAAAUUUUUUAUUUUGAUUUCUUCUUUGAAAUUUCUACUGAUUUCAUCAUGUAAGUGAACUCUAAUUUUGAUUUUUCAUCUUAUAUAUCUAUCUUGAGUUUAAUUACAUCUUAUCUUGCAUACGGUUCCAAGGGAGAGUAAAAUUACAUCUUAUCUUGUAAAUGUCUGUGAAGAGUGUGGAGAUCUACUUAUCAAUGCAAGGAGAAAGUAUAGGUUGGCCUUGUCGAUUAAUGGGAAUGAUGUGAGAGCCUUAUAUAAUUGGGGGAUAUCUCUCCCGUUACGUGGACAGUUGAUUGCAGACAUUGGACCUUUGUUCGGCCAAAUUGCAAGGUGUUGUCCAUGAUGCCGACAAAGUUUUCUUGGUUGCAAUUGAUAAGUUUGAUACAAUGAUGUCCAAAGGCAUUGUAUAUGCACCUGAUGGUUACUAGUAUGUCGAUGAAUUCUAUAAGCAGUAUGGAGAAGUUGGAGCAUUUGGCUAUGGUUGGGUACGGCAUUGUGGAUGAUGAAGGACUGCAUUAUCUUGGAAAAGGAUGUCCUUCUCUUCAGUUGAUUAACACGUUCACAAACUAUAUAUUUGAUCAAUUGUAGAAAAAUAUGAGAUGAUAACUGUUUUUGGAGUUUUGUUCUCCUCUCUAAAAGUGACCUUUACAGUGUUGCUAGUGGUCUUUUGCCUAUUUUAAGCCUGAAAAUAAACCUUGUAUGCAAAACAAUUGUUUCACAAAUAAGCACAUGUAAGUUGCUUCAUAAAUAAGCAUAUGUAAUUAUAUUUGAUCAUAGCUUGUCGAAUUAUAAACAUUUUUUCUUAGAAGUGACGAUGGACUUAAAUUUGUUUUUGU